UUGAGAGAACGGAAGCUUUAUCGAGAGAGAGAGAGAAAGAGCGUCUAACUAACCGCACACACAGCGAAAGCAAAGUCUAACUAUGCGCAUACUAGUAGGCGCUUGCGUAGUAGUGGUGUAAAAGUCCCUUUUCUAACCCUUAUUUGCUCGCGUGUUAGUGUGCGUGUGUGGGUAGAUCUGAAGUCGAGCGGAACUGCUGAGAAAAUAGAAGAAUUAUAGUUAGUUUCUCUUUGAUAGCCGUGACGUUCGGACGCUUCAGUGGUGAAAUUUCGUUAGGACAAAUAGUAAAUUCUUUUGUUCUUUGCUUUUCCCUUUCACGUUUUUCGGUGUGUGUUCGGUGUGUGAAGCUGUCAGUGGGGAGGUGCUGUGAAGUGAAGAAAAAAAAAACGUUUCUUUGCUAAAAAGAUAAAACGUUGAAGGUGACGCUACCAACACAACCAUCUUAAGGGUCGCAUGAUGUACGACAGUGCGGUGAUAAAGGUAAAAAUGGAAGAAGAGGAAGAGGAAGAAAUGAUGCUGCCGUUGGACGAUGACGGUGCGGUUCCGUGUAGCGGAAAUGAGACAGCGUGUGAAGCGGCGCAGGAUAACACGAUUGCACCGGAGAUGGAAAACGGGAACAAUGCUGAGGAGCAUCUUGAUGUGGCGCAGCCAACAAUUCAACCUGCUUCCAACAAGAAACGUGCUAAAAAAGGCGUUGGUCUUAGGAAACGUAAAAAAAUUCUUAAGCGAAAAUUAAAAACGGGAAAAUCAAAAGUAAAAAGAGACACGGAAGUUCCACCGGUCGAAUAUGGAUCAUUAAAUUAUCCGGAUGACAACUCGGACGAUGAUCAGCAAAGUAAAAUCUAUUUCAAGGACGUUCCACAGCUUUACUCCAAACUGUUGAAAUGGAAUCCCGACACACCGGCACCGAGGUCGUUGAAGGCAUGGCGUAAUUGUGAGUAUGACGGCAAAUUGGAACUUGAUAUAAAAAAAACUCACUCACAUCCCGCCUCUUUUCAGCGCUGAAUGUUGAAUUUGCAGCGGACCGAUUUUUGUCGCCGGUGUACAGAUUUUUCCGUAUCUUUCUCAACCGCCAGCUCGGUGGUCGGAAAUAUAAAAUGGUCCGAAUUCAGCGGUACUGUAGCCGUUCGAAAAGGGUAACGCAACGCCAGGAGGCAAUCGGCGAGUGUGCAGCACCAGCUGUACUACAGCAGGUCUAGGAAGUGCAGUAAAUUGAAGAAAACAAAAGAAAGCUGAGCUGAUUUCAUCGCUACGAACCUACCUACAACGACCAUUUUGUUUGCCUUGACCACCACCAGAAGUACCUCCAUAGAGACGUGAAAGCAACCACAAGUCCAGCACCAAAUAACUUACACACAAACAAAACCAAAUGAACCAUUCAUCAGUGAAGAAAAGCCACACAAUUAUAAUGGAAUUAAUUUUGAACUCAUAAAUGAAUCAAGAUAAGAGCUACAAAAAUGGUAACAUUUUUGAUGAUUAAUGAACUAUAGAUCUUUUCCAAUUGUUCCUUUGCCAAAACGUUUAAUAAAUAUGCUGAAGAUCAUAAAGAACGUUUUAAAAAUGAAUUUAAAUCAUUUUGUUUACUAUUAACUUAUAAUUUAGUAUGAAGCAUUUCUAUGAUCUUAAAGAACGUUUUAAAAAUGAAUUUAAAUCGUUUAGUUUAUUAUAAACUUAUAAUUUAGCAUGAAGCAUUUCUAUGAUCUUAAAGAACGUUUUAAAAAUGAAUUUAAAUCGUUUUGUUUACUAUAGACUUAUGAAGCAUUUCUAUCCCGGAUAGUAGAAAUAAUAGUUUAACAAAAAUAGAUUUCUUUUUUAAAUAAGUUAGAUUUAAUUAGAAUUAAAAAAAAAUCGAAAAAUUGUACGUAAAAAUUAUCUGUCGAUAAUAUUUACAAUAAUGGACGAAUAACCACCGAAUCGUUAAAUAAUGGAGUAUAAGUUCCUUAAUGAUAUAUAAUAAGAUAAAAUAUAAGAUAAGAAAUAGCCGGCACGAGCUUUUAGAGUUCGUUAAGCCAAGGACAAGAAAAAGAAGGGAAGCUUAGAAUAGAAAGAACUGAUUUUGAGGAAUGAAACGUCCUGAAUUAAUUAAUUCCAUUAGAAGUACCUAGAAUAAAUAUGCUUGAUAGUGGAUACAACCAAGCAUAAGAAUAUUACGAACGAUACUGCUUACAUCGCUGACACUUUGAAACAUUAGUAACAAAAUAGAUACAAAUUCAGAACAAAAAAAACGAAA